GCUAAUCACUCGGUUAGCGUGCUUCCCCUUUCCUUUUUCCUCACUCGGGAACAAAAAGCAGGUUAACUGUAACUCUCUUAGUUCAUAGGCUUCUGUCAUUCAUAGGUGAAUAUUUAAAAGGCAAUUCAAAGUCCGCUAACCAAAACAUGGGGCACCACAACAGUAAGAUGAGUUCAAGUGUGGAGGCUUGCCACAUGUGAGCUUGUUCAUUGCAUAGUAUUAAAGAUGAUCUUAUGUUAUGUGGAGACAAAUGACUAGAACAUACUGUAUUUAUUAAGGUUAUAUAUUUUGGGGGGGAAAUAGUAUACUGUAUUUUCGGGAAAAGUACGGUAAUCAUUUUUACAAGAAUAAAUUCUG